AUGGGAUACUGGACCGGGAGCACAAGCUACAACCCGUCCCUGCAAGGUCGCAUCACCAUCACCGUGGAUUCCUCCAGCACCAAGUAUUAUCUGCGGCUCAGCGCGCUGACAGCUGCAGACACCGCCACCUUCACCUUCAGCAGCUACUGGAUGAACUGGGUCUGGUGGGCCAACAUUUACAGCUCGAGCUCGAGCACAUACUACAGCGACUCGGUCAAAGGGCGAUUCACCAUCUCCAGAGAGCCCCCCAGCAGCCUCCUGCACCUGCAACUGACCGGCCUGAAGCCGGAGGACACCGUCUGCUAUUACUGGAAAGGCUGA